rnacentral:rRNA from 1 species
CGGGGAAUUUUGGACAAUGGGGGCAACCCUGAUCCAGCCAUUCCGCGUGAGUGAAGAAGGCCUUCGGGUUGUAAAGCUCUUUCGGCAGGAACGAAACGGCGAGCUCUAACAUAGCUCGCUAAUGACGGUACCUGAAGAAGAAGCACCGGCUAACUACGUGCCAGCAGCCGCGGUAAU